CAAGAGUGAUUGUGUCUGGAAUGUGGGAUGCAGGGGCAGGCAGCCUGGCUCCUGCAGACCCCCUCUCCUCCUUGCCUCUGGCUGGUUCAUAUAUCAGAUGCUUCCCACCAUCCAGGGGAACUGAGCCCAUCCAUGUGUGAUUAAUACAUUGAACUUCCCUGCUGCCCAGAGAGACACCAGAAUCAGGAUCCCAGGAUGAGUCUAAGUGAUAAGAAUACACUCAACCAAAUGCUAUAUCAACCAUAUCAACAGCAAAAUGAUGACACAUCACCAGAUUGACUGAAUUGGCAAGAAGUCUCAGUGCCAUUGAGAGAUCUUGGUAAGUGAGUGUUCUUAUAACAAAAAGUCCCAAUGGACUCUCUGUUCUUCACUCCCCUCUCUCUUGAUCCCCAACAGAUUUACAAGAAACCAGAUAGUAUUUACAUAUGCUAUACUAAGAAAUCAGGUGAGAGACUCCACACAGACAUGCGCUGAGUUGUCUAAAGAGAUAGGCCUGAGAAUCCAUAUGGCACCCUAGGAAGAUAUGUUACCUUCCAGGGAACCAUGAGCAAAUUGAUGUCAGAGAGACACCAAAGGAAGAGUGAGGAGCAAAGCCUUCUCAAGGGAGAGAACUGUCCAAGCUUGAGAGAUCCUUCCAAUAGGAAAGGAACCCCAAUAUUCACAAUGGUCCUCUUGAGGAGACAACAGAGAGAAAAGGAGUCAUGACCAGACAGGGAUGUUGUAGGAGAGAAGGUGUGAUUAACAGACAGAGUUAUGGAAGGAAAGAAGAAGCCAGUGCCAUGUGGAAGGGAAAAAAAAAGAGAAAAAAAUCA